CGGAGGGGGGUCAAACAAUUAUGAUAAAAUAUGGGUUUUUUAAAAUAUCUGAUUAUAUUAUACUAUAUAUGUGUUUUCUUUAAUAACUAUGGUGUAAAGUGUGCUGCAAACAAUCGACUAAUCGAAAGUCUGGAUGAAAACAUUUUAUUGGCUUUUUUAUUAUCUGUUCAACUGAAAAUUCCAGAUACGUUAGAGUUGGCACCUACUAAAAUAAAAUAUGAAAAAAUAUUUAUUGAUGUUAUAAAAUUAUUAAGGGAAGAAAUACAGAUAACAGAAGAAACGGAAGAAACUCAAAAUUACAAUAUACAGGAUAUGAAAGCAGCUCUUGAUGGGUUCACUAAAAUAUUGGGUUUUUUUAAGGCAGGGGGGGGUUGCAAACAAUAGGUACCUACAAUGGCUAGGCAAAGAUUUUGAAAAUUGCCUGUUUAAAAACACAGAAUGUGAAAAAAUAACGUCGAAAAAUUGUGUAUUAUCCGCUAUGGAUAUGUUACCAUACCAAGUUGUACCAACUAAUUGUAUCGAUUGUGUUGUAUAUGCAUUAAAAUAUGCAUCCCACGCAAAACAAUUACUAUUACAAUUAUCUAACAUUCAAGUGUGUAAUAAUGAAAAAAAUUUAAAAUUAAUGAACUAUAGCAUAGAUAUAAGUUUAGUUAGAGAAUAUCAAUUAUAUGAACGAGUUUUAUCCAAAUUAAAAGUAUCUAAAAAUUUGAAAAGUAAAAUAUUUAUUAUUAAUAUUCAUAAUGCUACUAAUUUGAU